rnacentral:rRNA from 1 species
GGAGGAUCCAAGCGUUAUCCGGAUUCAUUGGGUUUAAAGGGUGCGUAGGCGGAAUGAUAAGUCAGUGGUGAAAGCCUGCAGCUUAACUGCAGAACUGCCAUUGAUACUGUCAAUCUUGAGUACAUUUGAUGAGGGCGGAAUGUGUCAUGUAGCGGUGAAAUGCUUAGAUAUGACACAGAACACCGAUUGCGAAGGCAGCUCUCAAAACUGUAACUGACGCUGAGGCACGAGAGCGUGGGUAUCAAACAGGAUUAGAUACCCUGGUAGUCCACGCUGUAAACUAUGAUUACUCGAUGUUUGCGAUAUACUGUAAGCGUCUAAGCGAAAGCGAUAAGUAAUCCACCUGGGGAGUACGCUCGCAAGAGUG